AGAGUUUGAUCCUGGCUCAGGACGAACGCUGGCGGUGUGCUUCACACAUGCAAGUCGAGCGAAUGAAGUAGGUAGCUUGCUACUUAUGGAUUUAGCGGCGGACGGGUGAGUAAUAUAUAGGAAUCUGCCUUAGAGCGGGGAACAACAGACCGAAAGGUUUGCUAAUGCCCCAUAGGUAUGCAGUCUUCGGAUUGUAUAUUAAAGGAGUAAUCCACUCUAAGAUGAGCCUGUAUCCGAUUAGCUAGUUGGCGGGGUAAAGGCCCACCAAGGCUACGAUCGGUAGUUGGUCUGAGAGGAUGAUCAGCCACAAUGGGACUGAGACACGGCCCAUACUCCUACGGGAGGCAGCAGUGGGGAAUUUUACACAAUGGGGGAAACCCUGAUGUAGCGACACCGCGUGAACGAAGAAGCCUUUUGGGGUGUAAAGUUCUGUCGGCUGGAACGAAAAAAAUGACGGUACCAGCAAGGGAAGCAUCGGCUAACUACGUGCCAGCAGCCGCGGUAAGACGUAGGAUGCAAGCGUUGCCCGGAUUUAUUGGGCGUAAAGAGUUCGUAGGCGGUUAUUUAAGUCUGGUGUUAAAUACUGUGGCCCAACCACAGAACUGCAUUGGAUACUGGAUGACUUGAGUGCGGUAGAGGCGAGUGGAAUUCCCAGUGUAGCGGUGAAAUGCGUAGA
rnacentral:rRNA from 1 species